CCAAUAGCGUAUAUUAAAGUUGUUGCAGUUAAAAAGCUCGUAGUUGAACUUCGGGGUUUACCCAUUGGUCAGGCUUAAUUGUCUGCACUGGUGAGAUGAAUCUCUACCUUCUGAGGAACUUUCAUGCCAUUUAUUUGGUGUGAUGGGAAAUCAGGACUGUUACUUUGAAAAAAUUAGAGUGUUUAAAGCAGGCUAACGUCUGAAUACAUUAGCAUGGAAUAAUGAAAUAGGACGGACUGAUUCUAUUUCGUUGGUUUCUAGGAUCACCGUAAUGAUUAAUAGGGAUAGUUGGGGGCAUUAGUAUUCAAUUGUCAGAGGUGAAAUUCUUGGAUUUAUUGAAGACUAACUACUGCGAAAGCAUUUGCCAAGGAUGUUUUCAUUAAUCAAGAACGAAAGUUAGGGGAUCGAAGACGAUCAGAUACCGUCGUAGUCUUAACCAUAAACUAUGCCGACUAGGGAUCGGAUGAUGUUAAUUUUUUAAUGACUCAUUCGGCGCCUUACG
rnacentral:rRNA from 1 species